AUUUUUAAGGUUAAACGUCAAUAUUUUAGACAAGUUUUUUAUUUUUAGGGACUGAUGUCAUUUUUUGACUUGUCUUCUAUUUUUAGGGACU
rfam:Populus trichocarpa scaffold_1_contig_553, whole genome shotgun sequence.